rnacentral:snoRNA from 1 species
CUGCAGUGAUGACUUUCUUAGGACACCUUUGGAUGUAAAUAAUGAAAAUAAUAUGAAUUCUGAGCAGC